rnacentral:rRNA from 1 species
AGAAUCAACGCUGGCGGCGUGCCUAACACAUGCAAGUCGAACGCGAAAGUCCCGAAAGGGAUGAGUAGAGUGGCAAACGUGUGAGUAACACGUGGGUGACCUGCCUUCGAGCGGGGGAUAACGUCCCGAAAGGGACGCUAAUACCGCAUGACAUCCUGCCUUUGAAGAGGUGGAGAUCAAAGCUGGGGAUCGCAAGACCUAGCACUCGAAGAGGGGCCCGCGCCUGAUUAGCUAGUUGGUGGGGUAACGGCUCACCAAGGCAACGAUCAGUA